AGCCCAGCGCAUAACCUCCCGGGCUACCAAGCCUGCGGCGGAAUGUUGCGUUAAGGGAAAGGUCGUUUCAAAGCUCUGUACAACAUAGCCCAAGUUUGGCUUGAAUUUCCACUGUAUCUUAACGGAUAUACCGACUCCACAGAGGGUGUCAGACCCGUGUGGCUAUGUGGUAAAAUGUACGCGAGUUCGGCUUUAUUCCCUGAGAGUCGCGUUGCUUGAGAUUGCAGCGCUAAGCAGGACGUAAACUCGUCCUAAGGCUAAAUAUAUUCACAGAACCGAUAGUAAACAAGUACCGUGAGGGAAAGUUGAAAAGCACUCUGAAGAGAGAGUCAAAAGACCGUGAAACCGCUUAGAGUACAGGCCAAUGGUAUACUGGAAGGCUUGGAGCCAGCGUUCCCCUUGUGGGAUUGGUGCUAUCGUGUAUGGAUAAAAGGAGGCAUGCUGGGGAAGAAAGUGGCAUUGAGUUGAUAACACACCGUCACACACCUCACGGGCUACUGACAGUGGUAACAGGUGAUGUUCUAAUGAGGAACUGACCCGAGGCUGGGCUUGAGUGAGCAGUGGCUUUGAGUCAUACAAACGAGUGGCUUUCAAUACAGCCAUACCGCAAUCCUUUGUAAGGUCUCCCUUAUGAGGUGUCAUGCUAUAAAGAGUCGUGGCGUGCUCGAGUGAAUAUGUUUCGAUCACUCGGCCGGCCGACUCUUGCGCUGAUUUGCCCAGACAUAAGUGGAAUGAUCCUUGGCGAAGAUUGUUUCUGACCUGCUGAUGCCCAAUAGGUCUCCAAGGAGCUGGAUAGGUCUUCCUGCGCGGGAGGCCCCGGUGUGGGUGACUGCUGACUCCCUGUGGGUUCAGGCUGUUCGGUAUCUUAUUCCAGUGCCAUCGGUCACGUCUCGAAACACGGGCCAAGGAGCAUAGCAUGUGCGCAAGUCUAAGGGAUAAGAAAUCCUGGAGGCGAAGCGAGAGCGAUGGUGUGUCUGUAGUUUGUCUUUUUGACAUCUGCUUACAGCUUACGAAGAGCGUAAUUCCCGAUCGGAUGACUGCGUUGCUGGCUUAAACUGAGUUGAUCCCAAUCGUAAUCAAGCCUUCAAGGCGAUACGAGGGCGCAAACUCCGGGCUCUCUUAACAAGGGCGUUGCCCUUGAAGAGAGCACUGUGGAGCGUGCAUGCUAUAACCCGAAAGAUAGUGAACUAUGCCUGGCGA
rnacentral:rRNA from 1 species